rnacentral:rRNA from 1 species
AGUGAACGCUGGCGGUAGGCCUAACACAUGCAAGUCGAACGGCAGCACAGUAAGAGCUUGCUCUUACGGGUGGCGAGUGGCGGACGGGUGAGGAAUACAUCGGAAUCUACUUUUUCGUGGGGGAUAACGUAGGGAAACUUACGCUAAUACCGCAUACGACCUACGGGUGAAAGCAGGGGAUCUUCGUACCUUGCGCGAUUGAAUGAGCCGAUGUCGGAUUAGCUAGUUGGCGGGGUAAAGGCCCACCAAGGCGACGAUCCGUAGCUGGUCUGAGAGGAUGAUCAGCCACACUGGAACUGAGACACGGUCCAGACUCCUACGGGAGGCAGCAGUGGGGAAUAUUGGACAAUGGGCGCAAGCCUGAUCCAGCCAUACCGCGUGGGUGAAGAAGGCCUUCGGAUUGUAAAGCCCUUUUGUUGGGAAAGAAAAGCAGCAGGUUAAUACCCCGCUGUUCUGACGGUACCCAAAGAAUAAGCACCGGCUAACUUCGUG